GAGAGACAGGGAGAGAGAGAGACAGGGAGAGAGAGAGACAGGGAGAGAGAGAGAGAGAGAGAGAGAGAGAGAAGGAGGACAGAAAGAGAGGUAGGGUAUGAGAAGGAAGACAGAAAGAGAGGUUGGGUAUGAGAAGGAAGACAGAAAGAGAGGUAGGGUAUGAGAAGGAAGACAGAAAGAGAGGUAGGGUAUGAGAAGGAAGACAGACAGAGAGGUAGGGUAUGAGAAGGAAGACAGACAGAGAGGUAGGGUAUGAGAAGGAAGACAGACAGAGAGGUAGGGUAUGAGAAGGAAGACAGACAGAGAGGUAGGGUAUGAGAAGGAAGACAGACAGAGAGGUAGGGUAGGAGAGGGAAGACAGAAAGAGAGGUAGGGUAGGAGAGGGAAGACAGAGAGAGAGGUAGGGUAGGAGAGGGAAGACAGACAGAGAGGUAGGGUAUGAGAGGUUGUAACUAUCUUAGUCACAUUGCAGGCAGGUUGUUAUUGACAUGGUAAACAGGAGCACACAGCCAGGAAUACAGCCUGUUUUGGACCUGGGUUCAAAUACUAUUCAACAUCUUUCAGAUACUUUGAAGUUUGCUUGGAGUGCCGAUGGGUGGGGUUUGUACUUUUUCCAUAAUGACAUAGGGUUUAGUGCAACAGGCAAAAGCUCAAUCAAGUAUGACCAAAAAAUACGGUAUUUGAAAUGAUUACGAACAAUGUUUGAAUCCAGGCGUGCUGCCUGCCUGCGUUGCGUGCCUGGCUGGCUGCCUGCGUGACAGGAUGACCUGAGAGGUGAGGUUAGGCCGUAACUCUGUCAGAGGGUUAUUAUGACGAGACUUGUUCAGACGGGUGUACAGUGUAUCACUCCAGACUACAGAGGAAGACAGGAGAGUUGAGUUGAUGAUACGUGUGUUGUUGAGACUCAUGUACCUAAAGGGGAAACAGUGAUCUGGUGUGACACGUGGUCGGCAGCCAUUUUGACAGUACAGUACAGUUUCUAAGGUACACAUUUCUCCACUGUAGAAGACAGUACAGUACAGUUUCUAAGGUACACAUUUCUCCACUGUAGAAGACAGUACAGUACAGUUUCUAAGGUACACAUUUCUCCACUGUAGAAGACAGUACAGUACAGUUUCUAAGGUACACAUUUCUCCACUGUAGAAGACAGUACAGUACAGUUUCUAAGGUACACAUUUCUCCACUGUAGAAGACAGUACAGUACAGUUUCUAAGGUACACAUUUCUCCACUGUAGAAGACAGUACAGUACAGUUUCUAAGGUACACAUUUCUCCACUGUAGAAGACAGUACAGUACAGUUUCUAAGGUACACAUUUCUCCACUGUAGAAGACAGUACAGUACAGUUUCUAAGGUACACAUUUCUCCACUGUAGAAGACGACGGCAAGGCUAUUUGUGCGGUUCUCUUCAAAAGAAGAAGAGGGAAAAUCUUGGCUGAUUUGUUUUACAGUAUAAAU